rnacentral:misc_RNA from 1 species
AACGCAACUUGCGCCGGUUUACCGGCAUGCCUGUUUCAGUGUGCUAGGAGAGUAAACUAUCAUUAUAAAAUAUAAUGCGAUUGAGGUACAUUUAUGUUCUUCUUUCGUUAAAUAUGAAGAUGUGAAAGAUGAGUAAUCUCUCACACUGGCAAACGAAGUAGUCAUGCUUGUUCGUGAUCUCGUAUAACCAGUGCUAAAGGCUAUUGCUUAGCUAUAAAUCCCAUCUAAUAAAUUACAUAACUCCAAAAUUACCAUCAGAAAUAAGCCAAGGCUACCCGAUGAAAUU